rnacentral:rRNA from 1 species
AGGACGAACGCUGGCGGCGUGCUUAACACAUACAAGUCGAGCGGAAAGGCCCUUCGGGGUACUCGAGCGGCGAACGGGUGAGUAACACGUGAGCAACCUGCCCUUAGCUUCGGGAUAGCUUCGGGAAACCGGAAUUAAUACCGGAUACGACCUCUAAGGGCAUCCGAAGAGGUGGAAAGUUUUUCGGCUGAGGAUGGGCCCGCGGCCUAUCAGCUUGUUGGUGGGGUCAAGGCCUACCAAGGCGACGACGGGUAGCCGGCCUGAGAGGGGUGACCGGCCACGACUGGGACUGAGACACGGCCCAGACUCCUACGGGAGGCAGCAGUAGGGAAUCUGGACAAUGGGCGAAAGCCUGAUCCAGCCAUGCCGCGUGAGUGAAGAAGGCCUUAGGGUUGUAAAGCUCUUUUGGCGGGACGAUAAUGACGGUACCGCAGAAUAAGCCCCGGCUAACUUCGUGCCAGCAGCCGC